CCAUUAUGGAGAGUUUGAUCCUGGCUCAGGACGAACGCUGGCGGCGUGCCUAAUACA
rnacentral:rRNA from 1 species